rnacentral:rRNA from 1 species
GAUGAACGCUGGCGGCGUGCUUAACACAUGCAAGUCGAGCGAAGCGGUUUAAGUGAAGUUUUCGGAUGGAUCUUGGAUUGACUGAGCGGGCGACGGGUGAGUACGCGUGGAUAACCUGCCUCACACAGGGGGAUAACAGUUAGAAAUGACUGCUAAUACCGCAUAAGCGCACAGUACCGCAUGGUACAGUGUGAAAAACUCUGGUGGUGUGAGAUGGAUCCGCGUCUGAUUAGGUAGUUGGUGGGGUAACGGCCCACCAAGCCGACGAUCAGUAGCCGACCUGAGAGGGUGACCGGCCACAUUGGGACUGAGACACGGCCCAA